UGAGCAAUCUGCCCUUCUCAUCGGAAUAAGCGUUGGAAACGACGUCUAAUGCCGAAUAUGACCUCCUUUCGCAUGAUCGGAGGUGGAAAGCUCCGGCGGAGAAGGAUGAACUCGCGGCCUAUCAGCUAGUUGGUGUGGGUAACGCCCACAAGGCGACGACGGGUAGCCGGCCUGAGAGGGUGACCGGCCACACUGGGACUGAGACACGGCCCAGACCUCCGUACGGGAGNAGCG
rnacentral:rRNA from 1 species